GGGAGGGUAAGCCCUGAGGACAGGACUCCUGGCUUUGUCUGGUUGGGUGCAUGGGCCGGUUCACAUGAGUGGCUGUGUGGGCCUUUGGGUUGAGAAGUACACCGGCCUCCCCGGGAUUCUGGGCGGUAGCUACCAGCCCCUUGUCUAGAAAGAGGCUCCUCGCUCGCCGCGAGGGGUGAGGGCGCACGGCGCCUGGGAUCCGCCCCUUGGGCCCCUCCCCGACGCAGCCGCCGCCCACCCGCCGGCCUUGGGCUCCCGCACAUCUGGAGGUUCUCAGCGCAUCUGGGCAGCCGGCGCCGAAGCAUGAACAGCUCGCAGGCGGGCGCCACAGCCCGGGGCGCCUGGCAGAGCUCCUGCUGCAACCAGUCGGGGGUGCCGCCGGAGCCCCCCGAGGGGCCGCGCGCCGUGCAGGCGGCGGUGCUGGGCGUGCUGUCGCUGCUCGUGCUCUGCGGGGUCCUCUUCCUGGGCGCCGGCCUCCUGCUCCGCGCCCAGGGUUUAACAGCGCUGUUGGCCCGAGAGCUGCGCGCGUCCCGGGAGGGCGAGCCCGGUGGCGCCAGCGUCGAUGACGACGACUCCUAGGCGCCCGGCUGCGUUCGGGGGUCGCGGCCUCCCGGCGGUCCGUGGACUCCAUGCCAGAUUUUGAGGGAGGGGCCCCCCAGCACCCGACGUCUGCAGUGGGGAACCCUGCCGCGAUGCUGGUGCGCUCGCACAGAGGAGCCCAGGAUUUGGUGUUAAUCCCGGACAGCUGUGCUGCACUGGACUUGCUGAGCUGUGGACUUCUCACCUCAGAUGCUGAUGCAAAAUAUGGCCUCUCUCCCCAAAAGAAUGAACCUUCACACCACACAUAUGGCAUAUGGUUUCUGGGACUGGCACCCCAACUCCGCCCCCCGCCUUGGUGUCCUCUCUCCCAUCCCUGCUCCCCCGCAGCCUUGCUGGAUACCUUCUUGGUGCUGUGAAUGGCCACCCAGGUGCCACAACAACUCCCAGGUAGCUGGGCUCAGCUUUUCUGGCCUGAGCAUGAGGGUGGGGUGAGCUCAGAGGGUCAGCUGGAAUAUACAUCUAAGGAAAUCCAAGUGGACAGGGCAGAGGGGCCAGAGGUCAAGAUGAUGACUUGGAUUGGCCUUUGGGUUCAAGUCUGGGUGGUGU
rnacentral:lncRNA from 1 species